AGGGUGCAGGGCGGAUGCCUUGGCACUAGGAGCCGAUGAAGGACGUGAUAAGCUGCGAUAAGCUUCGGGGAGUUGCACGUAAACUUUGAUCCGAAGAUUUCCGAAUGAGGAAACUCACUUAGAGUAAUGUCUAAGUAUCAUUAAGUGAAUACAUAGCUUAAUGAGGGGAACUCAGGGAACUGAAACAUCUAAGUACCUGAAGGAAGAGAAAGAAAUUCGAUUCCGUAAGUAGCGGCGAGCGAACGCGGAUUAGCCCAAACCAAUAAAGUUUUCUUUAUUGGGGUUGCGGACAUAUCAUAACGAAGAGGUAUCGUAAUUGAAGAGGUUUGGAAAGACCCACCACAGAAGGUAAUAGUCCUGUAUGUUAAACGAGAAGACUUCAGAUAUGAUCCAGAGUACCACGGGACACGUGAAACCCUGUGGGAAGCAGGAGGGACCACCCUCCAAGGCUAAAUACUACCUAGUGACCGAUAGCGUAUAGUACCGUGAGGGAAAGGUGAAAAGAACCCCGGGAGGGGAGUGAAAUAGAACCUGAAACCCUGCACUUACAAGCUGUGGAAGCACAUUUCUUGUGUGACCGCGUACUUUUUGUAGAACGGGCCAACGAGUUACGUUAAGUAGCAAGGUUAAGCACUUAAGGUGCGGAGCCGUAGCGAAAGCGAGUUUUAACUGAGCGUUCAGUUACUUGACGUAGACCCGAAACCGGGCGACCUACCCAUGAGCAGGAUGAAGCGAAAGUAAAAUUUCGUGGAGGUCCGAACCCACGAGCGUUGAAAAGCUCGGGGAUGACUUGUGGGUAGCGGUGAAAUUCCAAUCGAGCCCGGAGAUAGCUGGUUCUCCCCGAAAUAGCUUUAGGGCUAGCCUCAAGGUGAGAGAUACGGAGGUAGAGCACUGAAUGUCCUAGGGGGUAUUGCACCUACCGAAGACUAUCAAACUCCGAAUGCCGUCAUCUUAUACUUGGGAGUCAGACUGUGGGUGAUAAGAUUCAUAGUCGAAAGGGCAACAGCCCAGAUCGUCAGCUAAGGUCCCUAAAUGUAAGUUAAGUGGUAAAGGAUGUGGGAUUGCACAGACAACCAGGAUGUUGGCUUAGAAGCAGCCACUCAUUCAAAGAGUGCGUAAUAGCUCACUGGUCGAGUGAUCCUGCGCCGAAGAUUUCCGGGGCUAAAACUUACUACCGAAGCUACGGCAUCAGUAAUGAUGGGUAGGGGAGCUUCCCAUACGGGUUGAAGCAUGACCGUAAGGACAUGUGGACAGUAUGGGAGUGAGAAUGUUGGCAUGAGUAGCGAGAUGUGGGUGAGAAUCCCACAGGCCGUAAACCCAAGGUUUCCAGGGGAAGGUUCGUCCGCCCUGGGUUAGUCGGGACCUAAGCUGAGGCCGAAAGGCGUAGGUGAUGGACAACAGGUUGAUAUUCCUGUACUACCGAUAACCGUUUGAGAGAAGGGAUGACACAGUAGGAUAAGCUAAGCACACUGUUGGUUAUGUGUGCCCAAGCAUUGAGGCAGUCAAAGUAGGCAAAUCCGCUUUGAUAAUGCUGGGAUGUGAUGGGGAGCGAAAUUUAGUAGCGAAGUAGCUGAUUUCACACUGUCAAGAAAAGUCUCUAUCGAGGUUAAAGGUACCCGUACCGCAAACCGACACAGGUGGGUGAGGAGAGUAUCCUAAGGCCAGCGAGAGAACUGUUGUUAAGGAACUCGGCAAAAUGACCCCGUAACUUAGGGAUAAGGGGUGCCACCAUCAGGUGGCCGCAGAGAAUAGGCCCAAGCGACUGUUUACCAAAAACAUAGGUUUCUGCUAAGUCGCAAGACGAUGUAUAGGAGCUGACGCCUGCCCGGUGCUGGAAGGUUAAGGGGAUCUGUUAGAGCAAUCGAAGCAGUGAACUUAAGCCCCAGUAAACGGCGGCCGUAACUAUAACGGUCCUAAGGUAGCGAAAUUCCUUGUCGGGUAAGUUCCGACCCGCACGAAAGGCGUAACGAUUUGGGCACUGUCUCAACAACAGACUCGGUGAAAUUGUAAUUCCGGUGAAGAUGCCGGAUACCUGCGACAGGACGGAAAGACCCCAUGGAGCUUUACUGUAGCUUGACAUUGGGUCUUGGUACUACAUGUACAGGAUAGGUGGGAGGCUUUGAAACCAGGACGCCAGUUUUGGCGGAGCCAUCCUUGGGAUACCACCCUUGUAGUACUGGGACUCUAACCAUAGGCCAUGAAUCUGGUCUUGGGACACUGUCAGGUGGGCAGUUUGACUGGGGCGGUCGCCUCCCAAAAGGUAACGGAGGCGCUCAAAGGUUCUCUCAGUACGGUCGGAAAUCGUACGUAGAGUGUAAAGGCAAAAGAGAGCUUGAUUGCAAGACAUACAGGUCGAGCAAGGAUGAAAAUCGGACUUAGUGAUCCGGUGGUUCUGCGUGGAAGGGCCAUCGCUCAACGGAUAAAAGCUACCCUGGGGAUAACAGGCUUAUCUCCCCCAAGAGUCCACAUCGACGGGGAGGUUUGGCACCUCGAUGUCGGCUCAUCACAUCCUGGGGCUGUAGUAGGUCCCAAGGGUUGGGCUGUUCGCCCAUUAAAGUGGUACGCGAGCUGGGUUCAGAACGUCGUGAGACAGUUCGGUCCCUAUCCGUCGCAGGCGUAGGAAAUUUGAGAAGACCUGUCCUUAGUACGAGAGGACCGGGAUGGACGUACCUCUGGUGUACCAGUUGUCCUGCCAAGGGCAUGGCUGGGUAGCUAUGUACGGAAUGGAUAAGCGCUGAAAGCAUCUAAGCGCGAAGCCAACUUCAAGAUAAGAUUUC
rnacentral:rRNA from 1 species